rnacentral:rRNA from 1 species
CAGCCGUAAACUAUGCGCGUUAGGUGUACUGGUGACCACGAGUCACCGGGGUGCCGAAGGGAAACCGUGAAACGUGCCGCCUGGGAAGUACGGUCGCAAGGCUGAAACUUAAAGGAAUUGGCGGGGGGAGGCACCACAACGGGUGGGAGCCUGCGGGUUUAAUUGGACUCAACGCCGGAAAUACUCACCGGAUAGGACAGACAUAUGAUAGUCGGGCUGAAGACUCUACUUGAUGAUCUGAGAGGUGGUGCAUGGCGUCAGUGACU